CCGUUUAAAAGUUUUGUCCGUUUGUAUAUUUGUCGACCGCUUAUUCAAUAUGCUGAAUAUUUAAUUGACCGUCAUAGUGCCACCACGUGGCCAAACAAUAUAAUUUUUAAUACAGCACAUAGGGGCCAUUAGCCUUAACAUUCUAAUAAAUUUAGUGAGUUUUCACCAGUUUUAACAGACGGUCAGACGUUCAAUCGCCAGUUUCAGUUUUUAUAGCAUAAUCAUGGCAAGUAGGUAUAUUUAAAUUCUACCGUCAAUAAUUUAGCUAGCUAGCCAUCAAUCACAUUUUUAAUUCAAACUUCAGCCAAACUUACCAAGCGCCACGCAGUCAGCUAGAACUUCGGGUGCAGUAAUGGAGGUGGUACUGUACUCCAAUCAGAGAAGCAGUGAAAGAGUGCUCUCACCUGGGUGCCUGCCGAUGAGGAUCUCUGUGACGCCCUGCACAGAGCCAAUCUGGAACCUGCAGUUGCACCUCUCAGCUGGGUAGAGGCAAAGCUUGGAGCUAUCACUGCUGGAGCCUGAAAGGAGCAUGUGACCAAAGUCCAUCAGCUGAUAUUGUCUUCAUAUGGAAAUAAAGAGGAGAACUUUUUAAAUACAA